rnacentral:rRNA from 1 species
ACGGCCCAGACUCCUACGGGAGGCAGCAGUGGGGAAUAUUGCACAAUGGGCGCAAGCCUGAUGCAGCGACGCCGCGUGAGGGAUGACGGCCUUCGGGUUGUAAACCUCUGUUAGCAGGGAAGAAGAGAGAUUGACGGUACCUGCAGAGAAAGCGCCGGCUAACUACGUGCCAGCAGCCGCGGUAAUACGUAGGGCGCGAGCGUUGUCCGGAAUUAUUGGGCGUAAAGAGCUUGUAGGCGGUUUGUCGCGUCUGCUGUGAAAGGCCGGGGCUUAACCCCGUGUAUUGCAGUGGGUACGGGCAGACUAGAGUGCAGUAGGGGAGACUGGAAUUCCUGGUGUAGCGGUGGAAUGCGCAGAUAUCAGGAGGAACACCGAUGGCGAAGGCAGGUCUCUGGGCUGUAACUGACGCUGAGAAGCGAAAGCAUGGGGAGCGAACAGGAUUAGAUACCCUGGUAGUCCAUGCCGUAAACGUUGGGCACUAGGUGUGGGGGACAUUCCACGUUUUCCGCGCCGUAGCUAACGCAUUAAGUGCCCCGCCUGGGGAGUACGGCCGCAAGGCUAAAACUCAAAGAAAUUGACGGGGGCCCGCACAAGCGGCGGAGCAUGCGGAUUAAUUCGAUGCAACGCGAAGAACCUUACCAAGGCUUGACAUAUACUGGACCGCAUCAGAGAUGGUGUUUCCCUUCGGGGCUGGUAUACAGGUGGUGCAUGGUUGUCGUCAGCUCGUGUCGUGAGAUGUUGGGUUAAGUCCCGCAACGAGCGCAACCCUCGUUCUAUGUUGCCAGCACGUUAUGGUGGGGACUCAUAGGAGACUGCCGGGGUCAACUCGGAGGAAGGUGGGGAUGACGUCAAAUCAUCAUGCCCCUUAUGUCUUGGGCUUCACGCAUGCUACAAUGGCCGGUACAGAGGGUUGCGAUACUGUGAGGUGGAGCUAAUCCCUAAAAGCCGGUCUCAGUUCGGAUUGGGGUCUGCAACUCGACCCCAUGAAGUCGGAGUCGCUAGUAAUCGCAGAUCAGCAACGCUGCGGUGAAUACGUUCCCGGGCCUUGUACACACCGCCCGUCAAGUCACGAAAGUUGGUAACACCCAAAGCCGGUGGCCUAACCCUUUUGGGAGGGAGCCGUCUAAGGUGGGAUUGGCGAUUGGGACUAAGUCGUAACAAGGUAGCCGUACCGGAAGGUGCGGCUG